GGUCGAUGACUGUUCAGGAAAAGCCGUGGCCUAGAUCAAUGGCUCACAUUACACUUGGUGAAUUCGUUGAUCUACCAUCUCCUCAAACGGGAGAGUGGAUGUCAUAAUUUGUGA
rnacentral:rRNA from 1 species